rnacentral:lncRNA from 1 species
CCGCUUCUUCUUUUUGUGCAUCUUUCUGGAUUAAUUUCUCUUCUUCUUUUUGGGCUGUUCAUAUUAGCUUUAAGCUUUUGAUUUCGUUUAGCGUUUGUAAAUGUGCAAAUGACUUCCAUCCGCGUGCGACAGAGCUCUCUCUUCAGAGGGUUCUAUUGGGCGAUGCGGCCAUAGUUUUGCACAAACCAACUAUCUAUUUAUAUGCAUCCUAAGCUCUCCUCAUUCUAAGGCUGUUUGUAUUUCCGUUUCCCUACAGCCUUAUUAGAGUUUUUUGCACACAUUCUUUCAUCUUCGUUCCUCUUUACUAUCAUGGUUUUUAAAAUAAUCAAUUCAUAAUUUGUAUAGUUUGAUUUACGAUCACUGUGACUAAUCUUGGUUCCACUCUGGUAUUCAUGGCUUGGGUUGUUGGAUCGUUGACUGUCUUGUUUUUCCAAGAUCUGGAUAUUCUCUUGGACUGAAGAAGUAGUCUGCCUACGAGGAUAUAUAUGGUACAAAUCAGUGACUCAUGCACUAAUGUAACUGAUGCAUACAAUAUACAAACUCAGUGAUGGCCAAUGAUUGUCGUAGACUUUCUCUAUCGUCACAUUUAUUAUAAUGUUUGGUUUCCAGGUUUGAUCUUUUGAAUGGUUUAGGUUCACUAUUAGGUUAGGUUAGUUGGGCCGUUGGGGUGUGACAGUUUCAAUAAACAUGCUGAUGGAAACAGAGAGAAGUAUCAAUACAUUAGGAAGUUCAAACUAUAGUGACUAGGCUAGUUAGGUUCAAAAGUUGAGUGGUCGGGCAGUAACAACCCUCAAAUUUAAUGACUGCUAAUAUAUUUCACAUAUCUCAAGUUUGGACCAUGUAACAUUUUGUGUUAUCUUUGUGUUAAUGUUUAUUUUUUUUCUUUUAUCUUGAGAGUUUGGUACUACUCCGACAAAACUUGGCCAUCAGAUUGAAUCAGGACCUUCAACGGUCGAGAUUAUACUAGAGUUUCUCAAGAGUGUAAUGCGCUUUAAUUAGAUCCAAAACAUCAGUAGCUUUCAAAAAAUAUGAUUGAAGAAAUUAUAAUAAACAAACUGUCACACUCAAUCACAUAUAAAUAUGCAUGCCAGUAGCUGCAAAUGCAUUUAUUCCACCAAACGUUAGCAGAGGAGGAGAAGAAAGAAAGAUAGCUUUUGGUUUCUGUCUAUCAAUGGAAGAUUCCACAGUUGGAAACAAAAGGAGGCAUGAAGAAGAUGAAAAAGGAGAACAAUGGUGGUGGGGCGAUCUCUGCUGCGGUGGCGCUGUGAAAGCCUUCCUCAAGUGUUUGGGUUUCGACGACGAAGGCCAGAGCGGUGGCGGAGGAGGUCGAUCUGACGGUGGAGGUGCUGGGUCAGCACGUCCUCCGGGGGUAGAGACGGCGGCGGCGGGAGGAAGAAUGCCUCCAAGACCUCCUCCGAGCAUUGGAGGUGGUGGGCAGAUUAAUUAGUUACAGAUAGUUAAUUAUGAUCUUAUUUAUCAUAAUAAUUAUUAAUUAAACAAGUUUACACACACCGCCUCUACUGAAUAUUAAUUGCCUUUGUAAAUCAUUUUGCUUUUGUUGUUAAUUGUCUUUGGUUGUAAUUGAAAUGUUAUGUGCUUCAAUGUUACUAUAAGCUCCACAAUCCUAACAGUUUAAUCGUUUAAUUAAUCAUAAUCUUACUGAGUUAGAUUGUUAUUAAUUGCGUUGACCGGAUAUUUUAGAUUUACGGUUAUAACCGUUAACCGCUAGGAAUAGGUAAGAUUAGGUUAUGAGUUCUGUAAUAACCGCACCAUCACCGUGUAAUAACCGCACCAUCACCGUAAUGAUACCCAUAAUCAUUACCAACCUGCUAUAUAACCAACAUUUAUC